CAUGCAAGUCGAGCGAGAUCUUCGGAUCUAGCGGCGGACGGGUGAGUAACGCGUGGGAACGUACCCUCUUCUGCGGGAUAGCCACUGGAAACGGUGAGUAAUACCGCAUACGCCCUUCGGGGGAAAGAUUUAUCGGAGGAGGAUCGGCCCGCGUUGGAUUAGGUAGUUGGUGGGGUAAUGGCCUACCAAGCCUACGAUCCAUAGCUGGUUUUAGAGGAUGAUCAGCCACACUGGGACUGAGACACGGCCCAGACUCCUACGGGAGGCAGCAGUGGGGAAUCUUAGACAAUGGGCGCAAGCCUGAUCUAGCCAUGCCGCGUGAGUGACGAAGGCCUUAGGGUCGUAAAGCUCUUUCGCCUGUGAUGAUAAUGACAGUAGCAGGUAAAGAAACCCCGGCUAACUCCGUGCCAGCAGCCGCGGUAAUACGGAGGGGGUUAGCGUUGUUCGGAAUUACUGGGCGUAAAGCGCACGUAGGCGGAUUGGAAAGUAUGGGGUGAAAUCCCAGGGCUCAACCCUGGAACGGCCUCAUAAACUUCCAGUCUGGAGUUCGAGAGAGGUGAGUGGAAUUCCGAGUGUAGAGGUGAAAUUCGUAGAUAUUCGGAGGAACACCAGUGGCGAAGGCGGCUCACUGGCUCGAUACUGACGCUGAGGUGCGAAAGUGUGGGGAGCAAACAGGAUUAGAUACCCUGGUAGUCCACACCGUAA
rnacentral:rRNA from 1 species